GAUGAACGCUGGCGGCGUGCCUAAUACAUGCAAGUCGAGCGAACAGACGAGGAGCUUGCUCCUCUGACGUUAGCGGCGGACGGGUGAGUAACACGUGGAAAACCUACCUAUAAGACUGGGAUAACUUCGGGAAACCGGAGCUAAUCCCGGAUAAUAUACUGAACCGUAUGGUUCGAUAGUGAAAGACGGUUUUGCUGUCACUUAUAGAGGGAUCUGCGCCGCAUUAGAUAGUUGGUAGGGUAACGGGUUACCAAGGCGACGAGGCGUAGCCGACGUGUGAGGGUGAUAGGCCACAUGGGAGCGGGAACGGGGACCAUACGCCUACGGGAGGCAGCAGUAUGGAAUCGUCCGCAAUGGGCGAAAGCCUUGCGGAGCAACGGCGAGUGAGUGAUGAAGGUCUUCGGAGCGUAAAACUCGGUUAUUGGGGAAGAACAAAUGUGUCAGUAACUAUGCACGUCUUGACGGUACCUAGUCAGAAAGCCACGGCUAACUACGUG
rnacentral:rRNA from 1 species